GUGCUCACUUCGGCAGCACAGAUACUAAAAUUGGAACAAUGCAGAGAAAAUUAGCAUGGCCCCUGCGCAAGGAUGACACACAAAUUUGUGAAGCAUUCCAUAUUUUU
rnacentral:snRNA from 1 species